ensembl:rRNA 5S_rRNA 5S ribosomal RNA
GUCUAUGGCCAUGCCACCCUGAACGUGCCGGAUCUCAUCUGAUCUCGGGAGCUAAGCAGGAUUGGGCCUGGUUAGUACUUGAAUGAAAGAAAGGAGAAGAGGGAAGGAAAAAGAUA